rnacentral:pre_miRNA from 1 species
UAACUCCGCAGGCUUGGCCCCCAGGCUGGGCUGGAUGAGUAUCUCUUGGAAAGGCUCACCCUCAAGCACACCUAGGAGC